GCAGCAAGUCAAGGAAUGAACUCCACCAGCCCUCCUUGUGCCUGACCCAAGGCGGACUUCAGCCUGUCCGCCUCUGGCCCCUGGAAAUUUCCACUCUGACCAAGCUGAAAUGUCUCCCUGAAUGUCAGCCUAUCCUGGGCUUCCCUGGGAGCCACAUAAGGAAGACGAAGCUAUCAAGGUAGCUGAAACUCAGCUACACCACUCUAGAGUAAAACAGAAUUCCAGGGAAUCCGACUCCAGGAGGCCAAGAGACAACGCACUCAAAGCCCUGCUCUCACCACACCGGAAGCUGGUGAGUCUACGCACGGCUGAAGAAGGAGAACUACAAUCUAGAUAUAGACUCUUAUAUUGUGUCAUACUGUUAUGAGUUAUUAUACUUCUAAAUUAAGAGUUUAUGAGCCUACAGAUGAUAAAAAUAUGAAAACUUUUUGUGCUCUGGGAAUCCUAAUCCGCAAUUUAGCUGUCUAAGAGAUGCCUUUACAAAUUGCUGUGACCCCUUAGCUAAAAAUUUAAAACAAUGAAUCAAGGAUUUGAUUCUACCUAAGAUCAGUGGGGAUUGUAAGACUUGAAUAGGCUAAAGUGACUCCAUGCUAAUAGGCCAGACUGUGCUUCUUCAUAUGCUAAUUGCUACCUUGGUUAACAGCCCGCCCAGGGGCAAAUGGUUUGACAAAAGGUGACCCUAGAACAUUUCCUGCAUAAGAUAAGCAAUGUGUUUGCAGUCUUGUUCUGUGAAUUCCCUGACUCUUUGUUUAGAAAAACCUUAUAAAAAGUACCUCAGCCCCUGAGCAGUUGCCUCUCUGAGCCACCUGGCUCCGGGAGUGCCGUCUGGCCAGACUAAUAAAGGUCUCUUUACCAUCUAGCCUGGUGUGUUCCUUCCUGGGUUUCUCGGUUCUCUGUCGUGUUCCCGGAGCCUCGCUGGGUGUUAGGGCCCAGCAUCGUGGAGGCCUUUCGGCUGUUCACGCUCCGUGGAGUGGAAGUGAGACUUUAGGUCUUACAUUAGGGCUUAUCCAGUAUAAAAUCACAGGAGUUAAAAUUGUGCAAGUAUUUCAAAAAAAUAUUCAAGGGUAAAUUAAAAAAAUAAAAAAGACCUCCCUGUGAUGUUAAAAUUUAGAAAAGGACCCCUUUCUGACCUAUAUAGAAAGGGCCAUAUGAGUCACUUAUAGUUACUCCCACAGCUAUCAAGGUAGCUGAAACUCAGCUACACCACUCUAGAGUAAAACAGAAUUCCAGGGAAUCCGACUCUAGGAGGCCAAGAGACAACGCACUCAAAGCCCUGCUCUCACCACACCGGAAGCUGGUGAGUCUACGCACGGCUGAAGAAGGAGAACUACAAUCUAGAUAUAGACUCUUAUAUUGUGUCAUACUGUUAUGAGUUAUUAUACUUCUAAAUUAAGAGUUUAUGAGCCUACAGAUGAUAAAAAUAUGAAAACUUUUUGUGCUCUGGGAAUCCUAAUCCCCAAUUUAGCUGUCUAAGAGAUGCCUUUACAAAUUGCUGUGACCCCUUAGCUAAAAAUUUAAAACAAUGAAUCAAGGAUUUGAUUCUACCUAAGAUCAGUGGGGAUUGUAAGACUUGAAUAGGCUAAAGUGACUCCAUGCUAAUAGACCAGACUGUGCUUCUUCAUAUGCUAAUUGCUACCUUGGUUAACAGCCCGCCCAGGGGCAAAUGGUUUGACAAAAGGUGACCCUAGAACAUUUCCUGCAUAAGAUAAGCAAUGUGUUUGCAGUCUUGUUCUGUGAAUUCCCUGACUCUUUGUUUAGAAAAACCUUAUAAAAAGUACCUCAGCCCCUGAGCAGUUGCCUCUCUGAGCCACCUGGCUCCGGGAGUGCCGUCUGGCCAGACUAAUAAAGGUCUCUUUACCAUCUAGGCUGGUGUGUUCCUUCCUGGGUUUCUCGGUUCUCUGUCGUGUUCCCGGAGCCUCGCUGGGUGUUAGGGCCCAGCAUCGUGGAGGCCUUUCGGCUGUUCACGCUCCGUGGAGUGGAAGUGAGACUUUAGGUCUUACACAGGGACCUCCCGGAAGGUAGAAUCCUGCAGCAUUCGCCUUUUUGUGGCUGCCAAUGGGUGUAACAAGACGCCCUUGGGGGUUACCCAUGUUACAGCA
ensembl:lincRNA